rnacentral:rRNA from 1 species
CCUACGGGUGGCAGCAGUGGGGAAUAUUGGGCAAUGGGCGCAAGCCUGACCCAGCAACGCCGCGUGAAGGAAGAAGGCUUUCGGGGUGUAAACUUCUUUUAGCAGGGACGAAGCAAGUGACGGUACCUGAUGAAUAAGCCACGGAGAAAUACGUGCCAGCAGACGCGGUAAUACGUAGGGGGCAAGCGUUAUCCGGAUUUACUGGGUGCAAAGGGAGUGUAGGCGGGGAAGCAAGUCAGAUGUGAAAACCCUGGGCUCAACCUGUGGCCUGCAUUUGAAACUGUUUGUCUUGAGUACUGGAGAGGCAGACGGAAUUCCUAGUGUAGCGGUGAAAUGCGUAGAUAUUAGGAGGAACACCAGUGGCGAAGGCGGUCUGCUGGACAGCAACUGACGCUGAGGCGCGAAAGCGUGGGGAGCAAACAGGAUUAGAUACCCUUGUAGUC